rnacentral:rRNA from 1 species
AAUGGCGUAAUGAUGGCCAGGCUGUCUCCACCCGAGACUCAGUGAAAUUGAACUCGCUGUGAAGAUGCAGUGUACCCGCGGCAAGACGGAAAGACCCCGUGAACCUUUACUAUAGCUUGACACUGAACAUUGAGCCUUGAUGUGUAGGAUAGGUGGGAGGCUUUGAAGCGUGGACGCCAGUCUGCGUGGAGCCAACCUUGAAAUACCACCCUUUAAUGUUUGAUGUUCUAACGUGGACCCGUAAUCCGGGUUGCGGACAGUGUCUGGUGGGUAGUUUGACUGGGGCGGUCUCCUCCUAAAGAGUAACGGAGGAGCACGAAGGUUGGCUAAUCCUGGUCGGACAUCAGGAGGUUAGUGCAAUGGCAUAAGCCAGCUUGACUGCGAGCGUGACGGCGCGAGCAGGUGCGAAAGCAGGUCAUAGUGAUCCGGUGGUUCUGAAUGGAAGGGCCAUCGCUCAACGGAUAAAAGGUACUCCGGGGAUAACAGGCUGAUACCGCCCAAGAGUUCAUAUCGACGGCGGUGUUUGGCACCUCGAUGUCGGCUCAUCACAUCCUGGGGCUGAAGUAGGUCCCAAGGGUAUGGCUGUUCGCCAUUUAAAGUGGUACGCGAGCUGGGUUUAGAACGUCGUGAGACAGUUCGGUCCCUAUCUGCCGUGGGCGCUGGAGAACUGAGGGGGGCUGCUCCUAGUACGAGAGGACCGGAGUGGACGCAUCACUGGUGUUCGGGUUGUCAUGCCAAUGGCACUGCCCGGUAGCUAAAUGCGGAAGAGAUAAGUGCUGAAAGCAUCUAAGCACGAAACUUGCCCCGA